GACGAACGCUGGCGGCGUGCCUAAUGCAUGCAAGUCGACGGUGCGGCUUCGGCCGCUCCGUGGCGCACGGCUGAGUAACACGUGGGUAUCUACCCGCCGGUGGGGGAUAACCCAGCGAAAGCUGGAAUAAACCCGCAUACGCUCCUCGGAGGAAAACCCUCGGGUGCCGGCGGAUGAGCCUGCGGCCCAUCAGGUAGUUGGUGGGGUAAAGGCUCACCAAGCCAACGAUCUGUAGCUGGUCUGAGAGGACGACCAGCCACACUGGGACUGAGACACGGCCCAGACUCCUACGGGAGGCAGCAGUGGGGAAUUUUGGACAAUGGGCGCAAGCCUGAUCCAGCAAUGCCGCGUGCAGGAAGAAGGCCUUCGGGUUGUAAACUGCUUUUGUACGGAACGAAAAGGCUCUGGUUAAUACCUGGGGCUCAUGACGGUACCGUAAGAAUAAGCACCGGCUAACUACGUGCCAGCCGCCGCAGUAAGAC
rnacentral:rRNA from 1 species